AUUGAACGCUGGCGGCAGGCCUAACACAUGCAAGUCGAACGGUAACAGGAAGCAGCUUGCUGCUUCGCUGACGAGUGGCGGACGGGUGAGUAAUGUCUGGGAAACUGCCUGAUGGAGGGGGAUAACUACUGGAAACGGUAGCUAAUACCGCAUAACGUCGCAAGACCAAAGAGGGGGACCUUCGGUCCUCUUGCCAUCGGAUGUGCCCAGAUGGGAUUAGCUAGUAGGUGGGGUAACGGCUCACCUAGGCGACGAUCCCUAGCUGGUCUGAGAGGAUGACCAGCCACACUGGAACGGAGACACGGUCCAGACUCCUACGGGAGGCAGCAGUGGGGAAUAUUGCACAAUGGGCGCAAGCCUGAUGCAGCCAUGCCGCGUGGAUGAAGAAGGCCUUCGGGUUGUAAAGUACUUUCAGCGGGGAGGAAGGGAGUAAAGUUAAUACCUUUGCUCAUUGACGUUACCCGCAGAAGAAGCACCGGCUAACUCCGUG
rnacentral:rRNA from 1 species